GAUCAUGGCUCAGGACGAACGCUGGCGGCGUGUUUAACACAUGCAAGUCGAACGAGAAUCUGCGGAACGAGGAUUCGUCCAAGUGAAGCAGAGGACAGUGGCGGACGGGUGAGUAACGCGUGAGGAACCUGCCUUUCAGAGGGGGACAACAGUUGGAAACGACUGCUAAUACCGCAUGACACAUAGAUGUCGCAUGGCAUUUAUGUCAAAGAUUUAUCGCUGAAAGAUGG
rnacentral:rRNA from 1 species